ensembl:snoRNA SNORD34 Small nucleolar RNA SNORD34
GCUUGUCUGUGAUGCUAUUUUUCUUUACCUACAUUGUUUGAGUUUCCAAUGAGAACAAUUUAUUCAUCUGAGACAUUU